UGGGGAAUAUUGGACAAUGGGGGAAACCCUGAUCCAGCAAUGCCGCGUGAGUGAAGAAGGCCUUAGGGUUGUAAAGCUCUUUCGCCCGCGAAGAUAAUGACGGUAGCGGGAGAAGAAGCCCCGGCUAACUCCGUGCCAGCAGCCGCGGUAAUACGGAGGGUGCGAGCGUUAUCCGGAUUUACUGGGUUUAAAGGGUGCGUAGGUGGGCUUAUAAGUCAGUGGUGAAAUCUCCGAGCUUAACUUGGAAACUGCCGUUGAUACUAUAGGUCUUGAAUUAUCUGGAGGUAGGCGCAAUAUGUCAUGUAGCGGUGAAAUGCUUAGAUAUGACAUAGAACACCAAUUGCGAAGGCAGCUUACUACAUAUAAAUUGACGCUGAGGCACGAAAGCGUGGGGAUCAAACA
rnacentral:rRNA from 1 species